rnacentral:rRNA from 1 species
AGUGAACGCUGGCGGUAGGCCUAACACAUGCAAGUCGAACGGCAGCACAGUAAGAGCUUGCUCUUACGGGUGGCGAGUGGCGGACGGGUGAGGAAUACAUCGGAAUCUACUUUUUCGUGGGGGAUAACGUAGGGAAACUUACGCUAAUACCGCAUACGACCUACGGGUGAAAGCAGGGGAUCUUCGGACCUUGCGCGAUUGAAUGAGCCGAUGUCGGAUUAGCUAGUUGGCGGGGUAAAGGCCCACCAAGGCGACGAUCCGUAGCUGGUCUGAGAGGAUGAUCGGCCACCCUGGAACUGAGACAGGGUCCAGACUACUACGGGAGGCAGCAGUGGGGAACAUUGGACAAUGGGCGCAAGCAUGAUACAGUCAUCGCGAGUGGGAGACGAAGGCGUCGGGGUUGUAAAGCCCUUUUGUUGGGAAAGAAAAGCAGCCGGUUAAUACCACGCUGUUCUGACGGUAACCAAUGAAUAAGCACCGGCUAACUUCGUG